GGUGAAUGUGAAUGGGGAAUAAGACGCUGUAGUUAUGGGGGGGAGUAUAAUGCUGCAUACUGCAGAUUCUACCUUAGGGGUUCCUUAUAGAGUACUGGAUAUAGGACUGGAGCAGGAGUACACAGUAGUGGAGGUGUGGGCAGAGAGGAAGGAGAGAGUGGUGGUAAACUAUUAUAAUCCAUUUAAAUAGUCACAGUUAAAUGAGCGAGAGGAAGUAUAAGGAAGGAUAAGAAUAAUGGAGGAAAGGAGGAAAAGGGGUUGGUGGCAACCAAUCAUGUUUCAGAAAAGGAAGAAGUGUGCAUGACCCAUCAACCUAUCAGGUUUCAGAAAAGGAAGAAGUGUUGGUGACCCAGCAACCAAUCAUGUUUCAGAAAAGGAAGAAGUGUUAGUGACCCAUCAACCUAUCAGGUUUCAGAAAAGGAAGAGGUAUUAGUGACCCAGUAAUAUGUCCACAGGGGGAGGUGAGGAAAGCCCAAGUUAAAAAAAGACUGUGUGAUUGCUGUGUUCUUUGAUGUGGAGAAGGCAUAUGACAUGUUGUGGAAAGAAGGUCUUCUUAUCAAGAUGCAUUGAUGGGAAUAGGGGGAAAUGUGUUUCAUUUGGGCUCUGGACUUUUCAAAUGGAAGAAGCAUUCAGAUGAAAUAGGGUCAGUAGGGUGUCCCGGUUGGAGAAUGGGGCUCCUCAAGGGAGUGUGAUUCACUAUCAUUCACUAUCACUAUAAAUGAUAUAUUUGCAAACAUUCAGCCAGGAAUUGUUAUUUGCAGAUGGUGGUGGUACAUGGAAAAGAGGCAGAAAUAUAAACUAUGUAGUCAAGAAAG
ensembl:lncRNA